CAAAAACUGGCAACAGGAAACACGUCACCAUACGUCACAUUAUACUUUUGAUAGAAGCGUAUCGCCGCAGCGCUGCUGUACACGGUUUGGGUCGAAACCGGAUAUCACGUGGGGUCAGCGAGGUACUCCCUGCCCCUAGGUAGGCGUGAAAGUAGCUAGGGAAUGAUUCCUCGGCCAUGCCUGCCAUGUCCCCAGUCCCUGUGUGCCUAGAAGCAUCCGCUAGCCCAAGACAAGCAUGCACGUUGCGCGGGAGCGGCCGCAUACAAGAAUUCGCGGUGAGAACGUCGUCGACCGCAUUACCGCCAACCCACAAAGGACUGCGAUCUCAAGGCCUUGCUCCUUCAGCUGUAGCGCGACGUGAGCCCUGCCAUUUCACUUUCAAGAUACGUAAGCUGCUUCGACCCUGAAAAUGCCGACGCAAUGGUGCAUCUGAACAGCCAAUGGAUACGAUGUCCACUCUGUAACGAUCAGUGCUUUUAAUGAAACAGCACCGCAGAAUAGUCAACCACGUGAGGCACCUCAGACAGCAUAUGCAGUGGGUUGUGACGGAUUUAAUGAUUUCAUCAGCAUUUUCACUGGAUGCAAGGCUGUGAAUCUCUUGUAUGAUGCAUGUGUGGAAAAGAAACCCAACAUCCGGUGCACAUGCCUGCUUGAAACAGUUGGGCAUAUCCCAUUAGUUGAGUGCCCCCGUGUCGGCAUUUGCUGAUGUGAUCCCAGCUAUCUUCACCCAUUACAUUCUGCUGAAUUUACUGCAGCCACCCUUUGGAAAAAUAGCACAUGGUAAUUAUUUCAAGGUAAUUAGUUCUCCCAUACAGAAAAAAUACCAUUAGCAGUACUCGUGGGCGAUAAUCUGCCACUUUGCAAUAGUGGCGAGCAUAAAUCCCACUAGCUGUAGUAACACCAGUUUUGAAAUUAGGAAGCAACUUUCUUGCAGCUUGACUUCAUGUGUACUAUGUUUCGUUCAAUGUCAGUGUUCAGAAUAAAAGCAUUUGACCACUGCAAACCGUCGUUUUUUUUCUUCUAGACGUACAUAUGAACACAUUCUUGAUAGAAAAAGACAUGCAGGGCUGUAUUACAGCACAGAAAUGUUUGGACAAUUCAAGCUCAUUAAUUCAGAAUGUAAGUUUGAAAAUUCUAAGGAAUCAAACCAUUCUGUUUUCAGUGCACUGAAGUACACAAAGUGCACUUCAGCCACCAAAUGCAAUUGACAAGGUUGAUAACAUUUAUGAGUUAUGAGGGCACUGCAGUUAACUUUGUGUUGGCAAGCACGUGAAUUUCGGGAUCUGCAAAAAAUGGAAUGUGCCUUG